rnacentral:misc_RNA from 1 species
GUGAAUCAUCGAAUCUUUGAACGCACAUUGCGCUUCCUGGUAUUCCGGGGAGCAUGCCCGUUUCAGCACCAGCAAAAACUCUCAAGAGAAGGGAAUUUUUCUUUUCGGAGGAUCUUUCCUUGUUUUGGUUUUUGGUUUGUCUUCGUUCACCGGGUCGAUACGGUCGGGGUCGAACGGAGACGAGGCCUUGAAUUCAUCGAGCGGUACACGUCUUGUGUAACCAAAGUGCAACAGAAAUGUUACUCCUCUUUGGGAACACGUUUUGGGCGCUGCUGCUCUGUUUUUCAAACAUUCGUGACG